AUGGAAACCGAGGUCGCCGGCGAGGAGAACGCGUGCAGCAAUACCAACGACGCCGUUGCCACCGAAGAAGAAGCCGGUGCUGAUGAUCCCGCCGGCGAAGAGGCCGCCAAAGCUGCCGCCGCAGAAGCUGGCGAGGGAUCCGACGAUCGCACUGACGCCCCCGAGGCCGCAGGAGCGUCACGCUCUACUCCGACCGCCGAUCCCUCCGUCGCUGCUGCAGCGCUAGGGUCUGAAGAGCCCCAGCCCGGCGCCUAUUUGAAGGCCGGCGACGAUAUCUUCAUCAAGCUCCCCUGGGCGUCAAGCUCCAGGGCGCCGGUCGAAGGAGAGAUCUUGGAUGGAGAGGUGCUCGCCUCCGCUGGGCUGACGCUGGUCGAUGCGCCAAGUAGCAGCAGCGACGAGCCUGAGGAGGAGCAGCUGCUGCGGAAGCUGUUGUCGCUCUACCGCGCCUGA
rnacentral:rRNA from 1 species